GGUUGUUUGGGCUUUCUCUUUUCCUCCUCAUGGAGCACCUUUCAUAAGCGAUUGGAAUUUCGGGGGGGAAAGGCCCAGGUUUCAGGCAGGUUAGAUGCUUGCCCCACACGCCAACCUCUAAGCAGAGAGACUGGAGUAUGUUACUGCGGAGUUAAAGUCUAACUCCUCUGCAGCACGGUGAGGUUCCAGAAUCACUCUCCUUGCAGUCAUAAAGCUAGGAAGUGCAAUCACCAGGCAUGUGGUCCUGACCUCAGACUGAGGAUCCUUGGCCUAGAGUCAAGCAGUUGCUGCAGUCACCGAAACAGCCAAAUUAACUGUCUGCUUAGCCAUGGAUUAAAAUUCAUCCACUGAUCCAAGACACAUGUAUGGGCCAGGACAACAGCAAGCAGAAAGCUCAAUAAGCCUCCAUCUUCUGCUUGGACAAAAUGAGGUGAUGAUGAAGAAGGCAAAAUAUGUAGAACUACAUAUGAGAAUGAGGCUUGUACAUAUACAUGGAUGAGGCUGAAGAUGAAACAGUCUCAUAAAUAAUGGUGCUGAGAUGAAUAAAAAUGGCAGUUACUUCCCAGCCACCACACAAAUCUCAAACACUGUCGUAUGUUAAUGAUUUACCAUUAUGUUAUGAC